GGGACACGUGGUAUCCUGUCUGAAUAUGGGGGGACCAUCCUCCAAGGCUAAAUACUCCUGACUGACCGAUAGUGAACCAGUACCGUGAGGGAAAGGCGAAAAGAACCCCGGCGAGGGGAGUGAAAAAGAACCUGAAACCGUGUACGUACAAGCAGUGGGAGCACGCUUAGGCGUGUGACUGCGUACCUUUUGUAUAAUGGGUCAGCGACUUAUAUUCUGUAGCAAGGUUAACCGAAUAGGGGAGCCGAAGGGAAACCGAGUCUUAACUGGGCGUUAAGUUGCAGGGUAUAGACCCGAAACCCGGUGAUCUAGCCAUGGGCAGGUUGAAGGUUGGGUAACACUAACUGGAGGACCGAACCGACUAAUGUUGAAAAAUUAGCGGAUGACUUGUGGCUGGGGGUGAAAGGCCAAUCAAACCGGGAGAUAGCUGGUUCUCCCCGAAAGCUAUUUAGGUAGCGCCUCGUGAAUUCAUCUCCGGGGGUAGAGCACUGUUUCGGCAAGGGGGUCAUCCCGACUUACCAACCCGAUGCAAACUGCGAAUACCGGAGAAUGUUAUCACGGGAGACACACGGCGGGUGCUAACGUCCGUCGUGAAGAGGGAAACAACCCAGACCGCCAGCUAAGGUCCCAAAGUCAUGGUUAAGUGGGAAACGAUGUGGGAAGGCCCAGACAGCCAGGAUGUUGGCUUAGAAGCAGCCAUCAUUUAAAGAAAGCGUAAUAGCUCACUGGUCGAGUCGGCCUGCGCGGAAGAUGUAACGGGGCUAAACCAUGCACCGAAGCUGCGGCAGCGACACUAUGUGUUGUUGGGUAGGGGAGCGUUCUGUAAGCCUGUGAAGGUGUACUGUGAGGUAUGCUGGAGGUAUCAGAAGUGCGAAUGCUGACAUAAGUAACGAUAAAGCGGGUGAAAAGCCCGCUCGCCGGAAGACCAAGGGUUCCUGUCCAACGUUAAUCGGGGCAGGGUGAGUCGACCCCUAAGGCGAGGCCGAAAGGCGUAGUCGAUGGGAAACAGGUUAAUAUUCCUGUACUUGGUGUUACUGCGAAGGGGGGACGGAGAAGGCUAUGUUGGCCGGGCGACGGUUGUCCCGGUUUAAGCGUGUAGGCUGGUUUUCCAGGCAAAUCCGGAAAAUCAAGGCUGAGGCGUGAUGACGAGGCACUACGGUGCUGAAGCAACAAAUGCCCUGCUUCCAGGAAAAGCCUCUAAGCAUCAGGUAACAUCAAAUCGUACCCCAAACCGACACAGGUGGUCAGGUAGAGAAUACCAAGGCGCUUGAGAGAACUCGGGUGAAGGAACUAGGCAAAAUGGUGCCGUAACUUCGGGAGAAGGCACGCUGAUAUGUAGGUGAAGUCCCUCGCGGAUGGAGCUGAAAUCAGUCGAAGAUACCAGCUGGCUGCAACUGUUUAUUAAAAACACAGCACUGUGCAAACACGAAAGUGGACGUAUACGGUGUGACGCCUGCCCGGUGCCGGAAGGUUAAUUGAUGGGGUUAGCGCAAGCGAAGCUCUUGAUCGAAGCCCCGGUAAACGGCGGCCGUAACUAUAACGGUCCUAAGGUAGCGAAAUUCCUUGUCGGGUAAGUUCCGACCUGCACGAAUGGCGUAAUGAUGGCCAGGCUGUCUCCACCCGAGACUCAGUGAAAUUGAACUCGCUGUGAAGAUGCAGUGUACCCGCGGCAAGACGGAAAGACCCCGUGAACCUUUACUAUAGCUUGACACUGAACAUUGAGCCUUGAUGUGUAGGAUAGGUGGGAGGCUUUGAAGUGUGGACGCCAGUCUGCAUGGAGCCGACCUUGAAAUACCACCCUUUAAUGUUUGAUGUUCUAACGUUGACCCGUAAUCCGGGUUGCGGACAGUGUCUGGUGGGUAGUUUGACUGGGGCGGUCUCCUCCUAAAGAGUAACGGAGGAGCACGAAGGUUGGCUAAUCCUGGUCGGACAUCAGGAGGUUAGUGCAAUGGCAUAAGCCAGCUUGACUGCGAGCGUGACGGCGCGAGCAGGUGCGAAAGCAGGUCAUAGUGAUCCGGUGGUUCUGAAUGGAAGGGCCAUCGCUCAACGGAUAAAAGGUACUCCGGGGAUAACAGGCUGAUACCGCCCAAGAGUUCAUAUCGACGGCGGUGUUUGGCACCUCGAUGUCGGCUCAUCACAUCCUGGGGCUGAAGUAGGUCCCAAGGGUAUGGCUGUUCGCCAUUUAAAGUGGUACGCGAGCUGGGUUUAGAACGUCGUGAGACAGUUCGGUCCCUAUCUGCCGUGGGCGCUGGAGAACUGAGGGGGGCUGCUCCUAGUACGAGAGGACCGGAGUGGACGCAUCACUGGUGUUCGGGUUGUCAUGCCAAUGGCACUGCCCGGUAGCUAAAUGCGGAAGAGAUAAGUGCUGAAAGCAUCUAAGCACGAAACUUGCCCCGAGAUGAGUUCUCCCUGACUCCUUGAGAGUCCUGAAGGAACGUUGAAGACGACGACGUUGAUAGGCCGGGUGUGUAAGCGCAGCGAUGCGUUGAGCUAACCGGUACUAAUGAACCGUGAG
rnacentral:rRNA from 1 species